UACGUAGGGUGCGAGCGUUGCCCGGAUUUAUUGGGCGUAAAGGGCGCGUAGGCGGCUCUGCACGUCCGUUGUGAAAUCGCCCGGCUCAACUGGGCGGGGUCAGCGGAUACGGCGGAGCUUGAGCAAGCUAGGGGGCAAUGGAAUUCCCGGUGUAGUGGUGGAAUGCGUAGAUAUCAGGAGGAACACCGAUGGCGAAGGCAGGUCUCUGGGCCACUACUGACGCUGAGAAGCGAAAGCAUGGGGAGCGAACAGG
rnacentral:rRNA from 1 species